rnacentral:rRNA from 1 species
GACGAACGCUGGCGGCGUGCUUAACACAUGCAAGUCGAACGGAAAGGCGCUGCUUUUGUGGGGUGCUCGAGUGGCGAACGGGUGAGUAACACGUGAGUAACCUGUCCUUGACUUUGGGAUAACUUCAGGAAAAUGGGGCUAAUACCGGAUAGGAGCUCCUGCUGCAUGGUGGGGGUUGGAAAGUUUCGGCGGUUGGGGCUGGUCUCGCGGCUUAUCAGCUUGUUGGUGGGGUAGUGGCUUACCAAGUCUUUGAGGGGUAGCCGGCCUUGGAGGGUGACCGGCCACAUUAGGACUGAGAGAGGGCCCAGACUCCUAUGGUACGCAGUAGUGGGGAACAUUACAAAAUAGGGGGAAGCCGGAGGCAGAAGCGUCGCGAGCGGGAUGACGUCUUACGGGUGAUAAACCGAUUUCGCCUGUGACGUAGCGUUAGUGACGGUAAUGGGUAAAGAAGCAACGGCUAACUACGUG